rnacentral:rRNA from 1 species
UACGUAGGUGGCAAGCGUUGUCCGGAAUUAUUGGGCGUAAAGCGCGCGCAGGCGGUCCUUUAAGUCUGAUGUGAAAGCCCACGGCUCAACCGUGGAGGGUCAUUGGAAACUGGGGGACUUGAGUGCAGAAGAGGAGAGUGGAAUUCCACGUGUAGCGGUGAAAUGCGUAGAGAUGUGGAGGAACACCAGUGGCGAAGGCGGAUCUCUGGGCCGUAACUGACGCUGAGGAGCGAAAGCAUGGGGAGCGAACAGG